rnacentral:rRNA from 1 species
UACGUAGGGUGCAAGCGUUAAUCGGAAUUACUGGGCGUAAAGCGUGCGCAGGCGGUUAUGUAAGACAGAUGUGAAAUGCCCGGGCUUAACCUGGGAACUGCAUUUGUGACUGCAUGGCUAGAGUUGGCAGAGGGGGGUAGAAUUCCACGUGUAGCAGUGAAAUGCGUAGAUAUGUGGAGGAACACCGAUGGCGAAGGCAGCCCCCUGGGUCAAGACUGACGCUCAUGCACGAAAGCGUGGG